UUUAUUGCUCUUCGGCCAUAU
rnacentral:piRNA from 1 species